AGUAUCUGGCCCACGGGUGGCUAGGCGAAGCGGAACUAAGGCGCGUGCCUCUGGUGGAUCGUCGGCCGAGCGAUAGCGACGACGAGAAUCACAUCCGUUAUAGAAAGCCUUGAAACCAUGGGGAUGGAAUGAAGGAGGAAAAAACAAAACGCAAGAGAGCAAAGGAACAAAUUAAGGAAACCCGUUGGAAUAGGAAGCAAUUUUAUUAUAUUCGUUUUAACAGACCACUAAUAUCUACAGACGAAAGAAAAGAAACCGUAACACUCUCUGACAUUAUCUCCAACUAGAAACUAUUUCUUGGAAAGGACUGUCUAAGUUUAUUUCUUAGAAGAAAACCAUUGGAAUUUGUUACGAAUUUGAUUGUUUAAAUAAAACACAUACUUAAUUUUUGUAUAGAAAAGUUAAAAAGAAAAUAAAAAAAAAAAAUGAAUAAUA